CCUACGGGUGGCAGCAGUGAGGAAUAUUGGUCAAUGGACGAGAGUCUGAACCAGCCAAGUAGCGUGAAGGAUGACUGCCCUAUGGGUUGUAAACUUCUUUUAUAUGGGAAUAAAACAGGGUAUGCAUACCCCCUUGUAUGUACCAGAUGAAUAAGGAGCGGCUAACUCCGGGCCAGCAGCCGCGGUAAUACGGAGGAUCCGAGCGUUAGCCGGAUUUAUUGGGUUUAAAGGGAGCGUAGGUGGAUUGGUAAGUCAGUUGUGAAAGUUUGCGGCUCAACCGUAAAAUUGCAGUUGAAACUGGCAGUCUUGAGUACAGUAGAGGUGGGCGGAAUUCGUGGUGUAGCGGUGAAAUGCUUAGAUAUCACGAAGAACUCUGAUUGCGAAGGCAGCUCCCUGGACUGCAACUGACACUGAUGCUCGAAAGUGUGGGGAUCAAACAGGAUUAGAUACCCCAGUAGUC
rnacentral:rRNA from 1 species